AUCAGCAAUGAGAAACAGUGGUUCCAAAUGAUGUGUGCGUUAACAUAUUUGUCCAAGUAUGUCCCUGACUGUGUGUAUGUGUCUGUGUGUGCGUGUGUGUGUGUGUGUGUGUGUGUGUGUGAGUGUGUGUGUAGGUGCGUGUAUAAAUGUGUGUGUCUAUAUAUGUGUGUAUAUGUGUGUGAUCCCCUUCUUUUCUGAGGUAUUGUUAUGCCUGGUCGUCACGUCGCUGCCACCCUCGUUAGCAUAGAAACGGGAUGAGGACUUUGAUGGGGCGAUGUAAUUACAACAGGGAGCCUGUGUCAGCAGAGUGGGGUGGAUAGAUGGAAGGAUGAUGGAGGGAUGAUGGGGGGGUAGAUCGUAACCCCAUUUCCUCUUUUGUACUGUAGGCCUCAAUUGUUCUAAGCCCUCAUUAGUGACCGACUGAAGAAGCCAGUCAGGAGUCCAACUUCCAGUCCUCUGCACUUCGCUCCACACAGAGCAGCUGGGAACGUGGACCGGGACACGGACAGACAUGGAAGCUUCAAGAACAAGGACAUUGGAAGAUCUUGGGAUAGCAGCGAUGAGGAGGGGAAGCUAUGAUGAAGCUGAGGCUUUAGGACUGCGUCCUCAUCUACUGAGUUUGGCUCAGAGGAGGCGUUCUGCCCCGUCCCUGGCUUUUGAGAAGGCUCUUGGGAGCAUGCCAUGGUCUUCCAUCAGGGAGGAGGGUACGUGCCCAGUGUCGGCGGAGCAGUGCCCCUUUGUCCUGGGUCUCAGCGGUGAGGAUGCCGAGCUGGUCCUGGAUGCCUGUGUUCAGGUCACGGAGGCCUGGAAGACGAGAGAGAGACGUCUCUUUCUCUUCUGCGAUGUCAUCGUCGUUGCCAAGCUCAAGUAAGACGCGGAACACAUGGUGAUCAACAGUGAAGAGACAAAGAAAUGUUUAGUCUGAUAUCAAACAUCCGCGACUUUGCAUCGAUAUGAAUGUGUGUGAGUUGGAAAUCUCCCUUCUCUCUGCGAUGCCCUGGGGAAUUGAGACCACACCAUUGGUCUACAUUGGCGCCACCGGCCAUGAGGGGGGGGCAGUGGGAAUCCACCAUGUUUAAAUAUAAGUAUAUGCACCGGACUACCAAGAGCUACCAAAACACAAAACUAGAAAUAACAGAGUGCUACUUUCCAGCUAGCCCCUUUCCCCAAACACUGUUCUCUUGACCAUAACUAAUAAAACUAUUUUGACAUACAUUUAAAAAAUUGUGUGUCCCUUAGGGGAAGUCAAACUGUUUGAGGUCAUGCAACUAAGGAAGUCAGGGGAAU
rnacentral:lncRNA from 1 species